GCCCGCCUAGCUCAAUCGGAUAGAGCGUCAGACUCUUAUGAGAUGGAACCCUAGGCAAUCUGAAGGCUGCGAGUUCGACCCUCGCGGUGGGCU
rnacentral:tRNA from 1 species